AGUGAACGCUGGCGGUAGGCCUAACGCAUGCAAGUCGAACGGCAGCACAGGAGAGCUUGCUCUCUGGGUGGCGAGUGGCGGACGGGUGAGGAAUACAUCGGAAUCUGCCCAGUCGUGGGGGAUAACGUAGGGAAACUUACGCUAAUACCGCAUACGACCUUCGGGUGAAAGAGGGGGAUCGCAAGACCUCUCGCGAUUGGAUGAGCCGAUGUCGGAUUAGCUAGUUGGCGGGGUAAUGGCCCACCAAGGCGACGAUCCGUAGCUGGUCUGAGAGGAUGAUCAGCCACACUGGAACUGAGACACGGUCCAGACUCCUACGGGAGGCAGCAGUGGGGAAUAUUGGACAAUGGGCGCAAGCCUGAUCCAGCCAUACCGCGUGGGUGAAGAAGGCCUUCGGGUUGUAAAGCCCUUUUGUUGGGAAAGAAAUCUUUCAGGCUAAUACCCUGGGAGGAUGACGGUACCCAAAGAAUAAGCACCGGCUAACCUCGUG
rnacentral:rRNA from 1 species